UGCCAGCAGCCGCGGUAAUACGGAGGGCGCAAACGUUGUUCGGAAUCACUGGGCAUAAAGAGCACGUAGGCUGUUCGUUAAGUCCGAUGUGAAAUCCCCCGGCCCAACCGGGGAACUGCAUCAGAUACUGGCGAACUAGAGGACGGUAGGGGUAAGUGGAACUCCAGGUGGAACGGUGAAAUGUGUAGAUAUCUGGAGGAACACCGGUGGCGAAAGCGGCUUACUGGACCGUCUCUGACGCUGAGGUGCGAAAGCUAGGGUAGCGAACGGGAUUAGAUA
rnacentral:rRNA from 1 species